UUGAUCCUGGCUCAGAAUCAACGCUGGCGGCGUGCCUAACACAUGCAAGUCGAACGCGAAAGCCCCGCAAGGGGUAAGUAGAGUGGCAAACGGGUGAGUUACACGUGGGUGACCUGCCUUCGAGCGGGGGAUAACGUCCCGAAAGGGACUCUAAUACCGCAUGACAUCCUGCCUUUGAAGAGGUGGAGAUCAAAGCUGGUGAUCGCAAGACCUAGCACUCGAAGAGGGGCCCGCGCCUGAUUAGCUAGUUGGUGGGGUAAUGGCUCACCAAGGCAACGAUCAGUAGCCGGCCUGAGAGGUCGGACGGCCACACUGGGACUGAGACACGGCCCAGACUCCUACGGGAGGCUGCAGUGGGGAAUUGUUCGCAAUGGGCGCAAGCCUGACGACGCAACGCCGUGUGGAGGACGAAGACCUUCGGGUCGUAAACUCCUUUCGAUCGAGACGAAUGGCCUCCGGGUGAACAAUCCGGAGGAAUGACGGUACCGAGAGAAGAAGCUCCGGCUAACUCCGUGCCAGCAGCCGCGGUAAUAAGGU
rnacentral:rRNA from 1 species